GCCAAAUUCUGCCUAAGUGCCCAAAUUAACGACCAAAGAGAGAGAGGAGAGUCUGAAGAACUUUUAUUGUGCUUUAAUGCAAAAGGUUUUUUUUUUUUUUUGGAAAUGGCUAAUUUACAAAAUCGCACAUGGUAACAUUUUCAGAUCUCAGCUGAGAAAGCCCCUGUCUGUAUUCUGUUACAGUUUUCACUGCUUUUAGCUUGGCAUUGGCUCAUGAAACGAUUUUAAUUUUCCACCAGUGGCUUCUGGUUAUUUCUGCCCUUCUUUCCUCCUAACGUAACUGACAGGUCAAUUAAACAUCUGCAUUUUUUUAAUCUGGAUUUCCCCCCAUAACUAUUUUGCUUUUCUUCUAAAACUUCCAGAUGUUUUGGCUCCUUUAGGAUUUGAACGCAUGCAAGUAUAUUUGCUCCUAUUUCAAAGGCAGAGAGCUAGAUGGACCGACCAGAUGUUUCUCUAGGAAAAGCUUGGUAAUACACCAGAAAUCAGGUAUGCAGAAGACCACUGGCAAAACAUGAGAUUGAGUGGGAGGAACAGCAGCUUUGGCGCUCUGGGAUCUGGCUUGCCUUCUGACACAAAGCCUGUCACCCAGCACCUUUCAGUUCACGUGGUUUCAGCAUUCCUGUGCAAAGUGGAUUUGGAGGCUUGCAGAGCAGUGAUAUCGGGUGUUGGGAACCAGGCCAGUGUCAACCCCUCAGGGACCAGCGCGCUCCAGAGACGAGCCACCUGAGUUGUCCCCACCGCGGGCUGCGUUCGCUGCGGAGUUUUCCAACCUCGAGAGCUACCUGGCGGGAAGCCGCGCUGACGGAAGCGCAUCCUCCCAAGGUGUCGGUGAGGAGGGCGGCAAGGACGAAACCAGCAGCUGCUGGGUUGGCGUUGUUAGCAGAACAAACACUCCGGGGAAAGCACACGUUCCACUUCAUGCUGGGACCUUUGUUUAGUUUCCG
ensembl:lncRNA